rnacentral:lncRNA from 1 species
CCUAUGAAGACAAUAUCACCCCAACAAUAUUGUCCGGACGUUUUCGUCUCACCGGAUAUUGUCCGGAUAAAUAAUGUCCUACAAUCGACAUGCAUUUGCUGUUUGAUUUUCAGUUCAUAUCGACUAGCUAAAAUGGUUCCAGCAGUUUUGCACGGGAUUUUUAUUUUUAUUUUUUUUUUUUUAUUUUUUUUAUUUUUUUUCAUUAUUUACUUGUCUGGGAAGUGGUUCCCUGAAGUCGGUCAAUAGAUCAAUAAACGAACGAAACACGGUGAGACGUCAUAUUGAUUAUUAUAUUAAUUUUAUGUUUAAAUAAUGAAGACAGUUCACUUUUCUCUCUUAGUGCAGUAAUAAAGGCUAACCACUGGAAUAAUAUUUUGUGUGCUGUAAAUGAGCAAGUCGCUCAUUUAAAGUCUUAUGGAUCAUAAAUCGCCAGCUCGAAGGCGAUGGUCGUUCGUCUUAAUUAUCCUGUUGUUUAAAUUAUCGCUGGCUUUCCAAGCAUUUAUACUACCCACAUUCAUCAAAACCCCAAUCGAUGAAAAACAACAAAGUACUAAAAUAUCUAUCUUCGAAAUAGAAGCACCAACGCCUGCCCCAGAAGCCGUAACAGAUGGCCGCUUUAGGCAGUCGGUCUUGGAUUGUGCUUUGGAGUGUGCUAAGGAUGACGCAUGCGUAAUGAUAGAGUACAAACCGUGGAAAAAUACAAACUCUGGAGUCACAUGUCGCACUUGGAAUACUUACCAGAAUAAUACACAAGGCUAUCGGGCUGUACUCCAAGAACGAACUGCACGUGUGAAGAUAACAAAGUUCGACGGGAACGUGGCCAGUUUUAGAUGUGGGAUAACUGCAGCAUCCAGCGAAAUAUCGAUGGCAGUGAUUCAGUUUAUUUUCAAAAUACAGUGAACGGAACGAACGGAACGAACAGUUCCACAAAACUCAAUUUUGUAGAUGUUGGAAUAAUCUAGCAAUUAACAAAUAAAGAGAGAAAUAUCGCAGGAACAAAACAGUUUUUUUUUUAACACAACCCUCCCUAGCGCACACAAGAACAGUUUUGUAGAUAACAGAACAGUCCAGAAUAACAUAAUAUCGUAGAAGACUUUAACAGAUGACAAAUCUAGCAGUUAUAAUAGAACAGUCUCACAGAGAAAAGAACAACCAUGCAGAUAAUAAUAUCUGACAGUAUACAGAACAGUUUUACAAAAGACAAUUCUCGAAAAUAACAGAACAGUUCCGCAGAUAAAUUAAUAGUCCUGCAGGUAACAGAACAGACUCGCAAAUAACCGAAGUCUCGUGGAUAGCAGCGAAAUAACAGAACUGUCUUACAAAUAACAGCAAAACCAUUUUUAUUUUUUAUUUUAAUGUUUUUUUUAUUUAUUUAUGUAUUAUUAAUUAAAAAGAAAACCAGCCUCA